ensembl:lncRNA
CUGGGUAUAAACUGCAACUUUACAAUAUGCAUGUAACCUUGGGCAACUGGUUUAACUUCUCAAACUUCCAGUUUCCUGAAAGGAACAACAGCGACCUCAUAGGGUUGUUAGUGAGAUCACAAUUAAUAAUCUUGUUUUAAAGCAUCUUGUCUAGGGCCUACCCAGCAGUUGUUAGAGGAAGGCAGUGCAGCAGAGUAGCUAAGAAAUAAGCUAUGAAAUUAAGCAUCAUGAAAUUGACUCCCAGCCCUCUAGCUGACUAGAAACCUAGAGCAGUUUCUCAACUUCUCUAAUUUAAAAAAAUCUUUAUCUAUAAAAAGGUGGGUAAGACAUGUACCUAAGGCCUUGGAAUCAGACUGCCAGAUGUGGAUCCUAGCUGAAUUUACUGGAUAUAGUUUGUUCUCUAGAGAAAGAAAUCACCCAAGACCAUUUGGAUGCAGAGCUUGAGAAAUGGAAUACUCAAAAAUUACUUCAAGUUUCAAGCAUUAGUGACCAAGACAAUAAUGUUAUCAUUGAAAUAACUGAGUUCAGCAGAAUAGCCCAGAAAAAAAGAACAAUGGUUGUUUCAGAAUGAGGUCUCCUGAGUUUCUUUACAGCAAUUAAAUACACAAAUAGUAACGUCCAUUCAAAUCGUACUAUAAUUUAGCGGAAGGUUCAGCCUGGGCAAGCCUAAGUCAACUUCAUAUUUAAGUGGAAUAGAAAAUAGCUAUUGAGUUUUGAAGACAAAAAAAACUCAGCUCUCUCAUUAUUUUUGUGUAAUAUAUAAAAUUCCCACUAUCAAACGUUCAUUCCUUUGAUUUAGAUACUGUCUUUCCAGGAUUUCCAGAUGGGUUACCCAUAGUAGAAGGGGCUUCCCAGGAAGCUCAAAUGGUAAAGAAUUUGCUUGCAAUGCUGGACACCUGGGUUCGAUCCCUGGGUCAGGAAGAUCCCCUAGAGAAGGGCAUGGCAACCCACUCCAGUAUUCUUGCCUGGACAAUCCCAUGGACAGAGGAGCCUGGCGGGCUACAGUCCAUGGACAAAGAGUCGGACACAACUGAGCAACAAACAUACAUUCAUAGCAGAACAGAAGAAUUGUGUUCCACCUGGCAAAGUUUGGGAGAGCAGAAAAAGUCUGGAGGAGGCACCACAGAAAAUGGCAGCUACAUGAGGUUUCUGGUCAUGCAGGAUAAGGAUGAAGAACAGAAGAAAAGAGAGCAUCAAAGACAGAUUUUACCUUAUUAAACCUGAAACACAGAUUCAAAUAGUUUAAAACAUGAAAAUAACCCAAAAGAUCUUCUAGAAUAACAGUUUCCAGAAUCACAUUUCUUCAUUUUAACAUGAGGGAAUUCAACUCGCUUCCUACAGUAUCUUCAAGCCCCAAGGUUCACCAACAAAGAUUUAUCUUAAAAUCUGUCUUCCUAAUUUUAGCUGAACUUCA